UACGGAGGGUGCGAGCGUUACUCGGAAUUACUGGGCGUAAAGGGCGCGUAGGCGGCCGCGCAAGUCUGGUGUGAAAGCCCCGGGCUCAACCUGGGAACGGCAUCCGGAACUGUCAGGCUAGAGUGCAGGAGAGGAAGGUAGAAUUCCCGGUGUAGCGGUGAAAUGCGUAGAGAUCGGGAGGAACACCAGUGGCGAAGGCGACUAUCUGGUCUGUAACUGACACUGAGGCGCGAAAGCGUGGGGAGCAAACAGG
rnacentral:rRNA from 1 species